rnacentral:snRNA from 1 species
CUCCCUGGCCUUUUGACUUAAAUCAAGUGUAGUAUCUGUUCUUAUCAGUUUAAUAUCUGAAAUAAAAGUUAAAAAAAGUAAUUCCUCAUGACCAGGUUGGAUUUAUCCCAG